GACAGAGGGUGCAAACGUUUGUUCGGAAUUACUGGGCGUAAAGCGCGUGUAGGCGGCCAUCUAAGUCGGGCGUGAAAUCCCACGGCUCAACCGUGGAAGUGCACUCGAAACUGGAUGGCUAGAGUCCUGGAGAGGAAGGUGGAAUGCUUGGUGUAGAGGUGAAAUUCGUAGAUAUCAAGCGGAACACCGGUGGCGAAGGCGGCCUUCUGGACAGUGACUGACGCUGAGACGGCGAAAGCGUGGGGA
rnacentral:rRNA from 1 species